CUCAUCUGUAAAACUUUCUGCAUUUCACCAUGGAAGUGGCAACCCACUUCUCCAGGACCCUUCUCUCUGCAGGAGAUAACUUUUCUCUUUCUUUCACUUAUUAAACCUCCACUCUUAACUUUACUCUUCGUGUGUCCACAUCCUUGAUUUCCUUGGCAUGAGUCAACAAACCUUGGGUAUUACCCCAGACAAAUGAUGCCACUUUAGUUUCCACUUUUCCAGACACAUUAAUGUAGGUGCAACAGGUUUUGCUGACGACAGCACAGACUCCUCCUUGUUCAGCUAGGAGGUAUUCCGGGGCUCAUCUAUUAUCAAAAGCCAUUCCCGCUAGUGAGUCCAAAGACUUUUCCAGCACCGAUAGACUUGCACCAGUUUUUGCUAAGGCUGUUUCAAGGGAGGAGGAAGAAGCAAAGAAGUCUAAGUUCUUUGGAGUAAGAUGCUCUCAAAUGCCUAGGAACACUGAUCUCCUAACUUGUCUUCCUGCUUUGAGUGUCCCUCUGAGGUUAAAGUUCCUGCCUCAGUCUCCAACAAUGACUAUAAGCCUCUCUGGGCAAGAUCCACGUCUUACUCAUUUUUGUGUCUGCAGUUUAGUUCCUGGUUCAUUGUAGGUUCUCAAUAAACGUUUGUUAGAAUGAGUUGAUCUCUUGGAUCCAGUGCCCCAGAAAGAUAUGUCAUUUCCACUGCUGCCCACUGAGGAGUGCCACUGGAGAUGAUCUCACAACAAAGAGAGGGGGAGAGGCUGCUCCUCCCGUCAGAAGAUGGAGACUGCUUCCUUGCCCUUCAAUCCAAGCUGGCUCAUGACUUGCUUCAAUGAAUAGGAAAUGGCAGAAGUGAUGCUCUGAGGCUUCUGGGCCUAGACUUUAAGAGGUGUUGCCCCUUUCCUUUUUCCCUCUUGGGAUCCAGCCUACCACAUAGAGAAGUUUGGGUUGACAACUAAAUGUGAGAGAGAGACAGACAGAGAGAAGAGGGAGAGCUGAUUCAGCUAGACCUUAGUCAUUCCAGCCAUCCUAGCUGAAGCACUAGCAUGUGAAAGAAGCCACCUUCUAACCUAUCAAUCAGAGCCCCCAAUUUUACUGACCUCAGUCAACACCAUGUGGAACAGAACUACCCCAGGGAGCCCAACCAACCCAUACAAUCAUGAGAAAUUAAAAACUGAUGUUGUAGCCUCCUGAGUUUUAAGGUAGUUUGUUACACAAAAAUACUGGAAUUUUGACCCACCUUCACCUCCAAUGCCAACCUAGUAAACCUGGAUAUAUCUUUCAAAAUUUGGCUCAAGUGUCAACUCUUUCAUGAACCCUCUGUAUCCUUUUCUUGCUCAUUCAAGCCCUAUUUUCUCUUCUCCUCCCCAAAAUUCCAUAGUACUUUGUAUUACAAACUAUGUGCUUACAACCCCCAAAGUCUCUGGGCAUCCAGAAGGCAGAGAUUUGGCUUAAUUCAUUUUUGCCUCUGCCUAGCCUAACACCCGGCACAUUUAGAUAUUUAGUUAUUGUUUGCUGAAUGAAUGGAUGCAUGAAGAAGAAAAUUUAACAGAUGAUAUCUACAGGCACAUCUGGCUCCAAAAUUGAAUCAUGUCAUCUAGCAAUGCUCAGUAAAGUUAACAUAAGCAAUUUC
rnacentral:lncRNA from 1 species